UCCUUGAGGACGGAUCCAAUUUGCAAAAAAUGUGGACGCAAAGUGGCUGCAAAAGCAGUCAAUACAUCCAACAUCUUCGCUCAUAUUCGCGGACACCAUCCCUCCGUGCAGAUAAAGGUAUGUCGCAUUAAUAACAAGUUAUAAGUUAAGGCCAGAGUAAGGGAUUUCU